GCUCGCUUGGCCCAGGGGUAAGGCGUGUCACUCGUAGUCUCAAAAAACCUUUUCCAGUGAGAUGACAAGAUCAUCGGUUCGAAUCCGAUAGUGAGCA
rfam:Exophiala xenobiotica strain CBS 118157 unplaced genomic scaffold supercont1.1, whole genome shotgun sequence.